rnacentral:other from 1 species
UAAUACCUAGCGUAAUCGAAUAUCACUCAAUAUAACCGAACAAAUAAACUUCAGGGAAUCUAAUUUACGAUUGGUGUGAAUGCCCACCCAUUAAGUGCUGUGGGAAUCCUAAAAAUCAUAAUGUGAUGCCCACCUAGAAAUUAGAGGUUAACCCAUGAGUGAUAGUCGUUUCGCUGGGCUUUUU